rnacentral:rRNA from 1 species
GUGUCAGCAGCCGCGGUAACACGUAAGGGGCAAGCGUUGUUCGGAAUUAUUGGGCGUAAAGGGUGCGUAGGCGGUCCUGUAAGCCCGGCGUGAAAUACUGGAGCUCAACUCCAGAACGGCGCUGGGAACUGCAAGACUUGAGUCAUGGAAGGGAAGUUAGAAUUCCAGGUGUAGGGGUGAAAUCUGUAGAUAUCUGGAAGAAUACCGGUGGCGAAGGCGAACUUCUGGCCAAUGACUGACGCUGAGGCACGAAAGCGUGGGGAGCAAACAGGAUUAGAAACCCGUGUAGUCC